rnacentral:lncRNA from 1 species
UUAUUUAAAAUCUUUAUAGUCAAUACAAAUGUCGUUACAAUUUUUGUUCAACACGUAAUAACUAACUUUUUGCUUCGGAUUCCUUUCUAUAUUAAGCUUUGUGAAUCAUCUCUCCAUGAUAUGAAAGUUUCUAUUGUCAAAGGUUCUGCAAAAGAAAUGAAAUUGUCAAAGGGUGCCGGGGUUGCCGGCGAUGACCCUCCGACGCUCAAGUCAGCCUUUCAAAUUUUAUCAUAGAGAGAGAAAAUUUUAAGAAAAAAGGACAGCAUUUCGUUACCAUUUUUUUCUUCCCCCCUCUUGUGUGGAAAGUUGUUAGAGUGCAAUUUAUGCACUAGUUUUGCAUUGUUUACUUCCCUUAAUAUCGAUGUUUUGCACUUAAUAAUAGUGAUUUACUUGUGUUUUACUUUUGUAGGUGCAAUUCUAUUGAUUGGUGAUAAAAUUGAGCUAUAAGAUGAUGUUUAAGGACGAUUGUUCUCUUGGAGAAAUUAUGAGCGUCAGAAGAACUUUGUUGAUAAGGCGUGGGCGCGUGCUGUUAACUGCGGACUUGCAGUUUUUAGUUUAACAUGUUUUGUAUUUUUGGUUAUUUUUGUAAUUACGAAUUUAAUAUUUCAGAUAUUAGUAUUUUAUUUUAAAUAGAAUUUUAGAGGAGAAGAGAGGGAAAGUAUUUAAGGGAGGAAUCUAUUGUGAAAAGAGAGGAUUUGGAGAAAAGAAAGAAAUCCUAGAUCUUAAUUUUUCUCUUCUCUCUAUGAAGAACUAAGCCUAUUUUUCUGGUUGAAGGAUAAUGAAGCUUUGAUUCAUCACUACUGUGAGAUCUUUCUUGUGCUUUAAUUGUUUUAUUGCUUUUUGGGUAUUUGUUUAUUCUCUGAAUUAUUUUCAUGAUUAUGUUUGUUAAUUAGGUAAUUGGCCACUAUUUAAUUAUCAACUUAAUCUAUUGUCAAUUAAAGGAUUCAUCGUAUGAAGAAUUUAAUGUUUGUGACAAAUAACAUAGCAGAGAGUUGUGUUGUGAGAAUAAACAAUAUAAUUUAAAUGAAUCAUCAUAUGUGUUGAUUAGGAUUUGGGUCUCUCUGGUUUUUCAAGCUGUUAAUUGAUUAAAUCUUAUUAUUGUAUCUAGGGUUGUCUAUUGAUUAGGGAAAUAUCCAACGGUCGUACCUUGGUUAUCGACUAGUUAAGGAGAGAUUGGCUAUUAGAGGGUCUCAAUAGCUAUAACCGGUCUAUUCAUAAGUAAUAAUAAUCUAUAUUUGAAUCAAUGAUCAGUAGUCGAAUCAAGCUGAGUUAAUUCCUUCAACCAGAGCUUUCUCCAAUUUGAAUUACAACUUUAAUUUGCAUUCUUGUUAUUUUAAUUUGAUUUUUAUUAUUAUCAACAAUUUCCCCAUUUUACGUUUUACCUUUCAAAAGAAUUUAAAUAAUUACCGAUCUCUGUGGACACGACCCUGCUCAAUCACUAUACACAAUUUAUUUAGAGUAGGAAUUUAUUUUUGUUGGCUUUGACAACCAUCGAAAGUUCUGAUCAUUAUAUAGGCAGUUUGUUUCAUGAGGUGGAGGUGUCAUCAUGACACGUGGCAUUGUUUUAGUGACAAGUGUCCGCGAAACUCAUGCAUGAAGACACCUGUCAUUAUGUGUCAAACUUGCUCACUAUCAAGCCUUCUUUGGACACUUGUCAUGAUUUCGAGCUCUUGACCUUUGUUGGGCUCGAGCAUUUCAGCUCUUAUGUUGGUUCCUUGUAAAGAGGAAUAGUUUUGCGGCAUUUCGCAUGUACGUAACUUUUGUAGAAUGUUACUUUCAAGUAAAUGUUGAACAUCUAAGUAAUUAUUUGUAGAAAAUGGACCUAGAUCAUUCUUCGUAAUGAAUAGGUCUAGGUCGCUCUUUGUAGAUACAAACGUUUGGCGUUUUGUCGAAAAGUUGCCAUUUGAGCGUUUAAAAUGGACCUAGGUCCCUCUUUAUGAAGAGUGGACCUAGGUCACUCUUUGUAGAUACAAACGUUUGGCGUUUUGCCGAAAAGUUACCCUUUGGGCGUUUAAAAUGGACCUAGGUCCCUCUUUAUGAAGAGUGGACCUAGGUCACUCUUUGUAGAUACAAACGUUUGGCGUUUUGCCGAAAAGUUACCCUUUGGGCGUUUAAAAUGGACCUAGGUCCCUCUUUAUGAAGAGUGGACCUAGGUUACUCUUUGUAGAUAAAAACGUUUGGCGUUUUGUCGAAAAGUUACCCUUUGGGCGUUUAAAAUGGACCUAGGUCCUUCUUUAUGAAGAGUGGACCUAGGUCGCUCUUUGUAGAAAAUGUAUGUAGGUCACAUUUUGUAGAAACUUACCUUUAGCGUUUUGUCGAAGAGUCGCCCUUUGGACGUUUUAUCUAGAAUGGACCUAGGUCUUUCUUUAUAAAAAGUGGACCUAGGCCUUUCUUUAUUUAAAAUGGACCCAAGUUACUACUUAUUGGGCUUAUACUCAUGUGGGUUUCUCUUUUUUUUUUUUUU